UGCAGGUUCAAGAUGAAACUAGUCAAGACUAAAAAUGAGGACAGUUCAACUAUGAAGAGUACUUUGAGAUAUACAUUUGUUGCGCCUGGUUCUAUUGGAAAUGGACGAGGACGAGGAGUUGGACUUAAAUUGUUGGGUGAGAAAGGGAAUAUGCCAGCUAAGAAGUUAUUUUCUCAAUCUAAUGAUCUUGUUAACCACUACAUCCAAGAAAUUGAAACAAGGAAGACUCGAGGACUAGGACAGAAAAGUUAUACAAUGUCUAGUAGUCAAGGAAUGGAACAAUGCGUAAGAGCUCCCUGGAUCUUGAGAAAGAGAACAUGAAAAUUAAUAUUCCAUCUACGACAUGUACUAAUCAAGUUAAGCAAUACACCAAGAAGUUGAAACAAGUGCUACAGGAAAGGGAAUAGAGCAAAGAUCUGAGUCUACAAUGUCUUCUAAAAGCACAAGAUCGAAUACUACCAAGUCUUCUAGUCAAGAAAUGCAAAACAUGGACAGAAAUCCCCUGGUUAGUGAGAAAGAUGAUAAGCAAAUCAAUAUUUC